GUUUUUCAGCAGAGCUUCAGAGGGUUGACUAGGCUUUUAAAUAUCCUUCACCAGAUAAACAGCUGGGGAAGCCCUGCAGUUCGUUCAAGAGCAGUGCCUUUGUUGUGAGCUUCACAGCCUGCAGAAGCCUUUGGUUGAAGCAUCUCAGAACAGUCACCUGUCCUACUAUCAGGGGAUUUUGUAUGAGGUGAGAUGCUGCUGCCUUGCUGAGUGCCCUGGGUCGAAUCAACCUGAUGCCUCGGUUUCCGAUCUGAGAGAUGGGAAAACCAGCACAGAGGCAGUUGGGUGAAACACUCCCAGAGGCUUUGAUGAACACAGCAUCCUCAGGAGGACCGGUUUUGAUGACCUCGUCUGAUUACAGCAUCUUUGACAGCUUUAAAGGAAUUUGCUCCAGGGAAGGAGACAGCUGCUUCUCUGAUGAAGGAUUUUUCUGAGCAGGCCUCCCAAGUUAGACAUGUCGGUAUGAGAUGCUGCCUACAUUUUUCAUCAUGACCUACAGGCCAUACCAGAGAGGGGAUUUUGACAACGUUUCACGAAUCCUGCAGCUGUGAGCCGAUUGCAGCAUGCGGAAGAGUCCUUCAUCACUCCAAUGUACAGGAAAGAGAAG